rnacentral:lncRNA from 1 species
GAAGGUUGUACAAAAAGUCUCCAUGGUUGAUCUAGAGGCAAACAAUGUUAAAAGUGAGCUGGCUCUUUGGCAUGCUUACUCAGUUUAUAGCCAGUCCCUAUGCCCUUCACAUCCUCGGAGGUUCCUCACAGGCUUGUGCGUAUGCCCGGCUCAGCAGGUCUUUUAAAUAAAAUUAUACCAUGGAAUCAUCUAUCACAGAAUGGGUUGGGUUAGAAAGAAUCUUAAGUUCCACCCCCCCUGCCAUGCAGUGUUCAUGUUGCUAAUAAAUCUUUCAGGUGGCUGCAUGGCAGACCAGGGAGUUCUGGAACUUUUCUAGCCUACUCUUUGUUGAUAAACCUCGGGCAGGGCUGGCUGGUGGGGCUGUGCCAAUGGCAAAGCCAGCUUCCGUGCCUUGGGACUGGCAAUUCGUAAUUGAGCUUUAUCUUCCCCUUUAGGUAAGCAAAGGCAGCACAAGACUGAGUUUCAAGUGCUGUCCUUGUUCUCAGGAAGAAAAUAAGCACUGUGGCCUUCACCUGUGGAAAACUGGCACAUCUGUCUUUCAGGAAGUAGAGGCAAAUCUUACAAAUGGUUGCAUAUACUCAGUCACUUCAAGAAUUCAGUUUGAAAGGAUAACCCUUCACUUAGUCACAUUCUUGUUUUAAUUUGAAGGUUUUAGAAUAUUUACUUGGCUAUUUUGGGAAUUAAUGAUGAAUAUAGUGCCUCUGUUUUUCAGAAUUAGGCACUUUAAAAAAAGGUAGUUUGAAAUUCUCAUUAUAAACUUUGUAGCUUUAUCUGUCUGUGUCUUUCCCCUUCUGAAGACCAAGCAGGACCAAAUUUUACAUUUUAAAAUGUUAUAUUGAACUUACCCCAGCUCCUUUUAGUAAUUGCAUAGGUUGGCUUUUUUGGUUUGGCAAUGGAGGAGCGAUCUUUAUCCUGCAAAACCAGACAAAUCCCAUAAGCAGGACGAUCAGUCCCAAGUCUUACCUCAGCCUUCCCAUCUCAUGCACGUGCACAUUCCUGGUUUUGGCAAUCUAAGGGAUAGAUCAUACACAUAAUGCUUUUAAACAAAAUUGCUUGUUAUCACCUCAGGAUGGCCAUGCAAUGUAACUAGUAUUUGCUGCUCCAAAUUCUUGUAUUAUGUAUGUAUCAUGAAAAUAAAUGGAUGAAAAUAACCUAGAUGCAAAUGAAGUGCCAGAGAGGCGUGUAGCUUCCCUUAUCAAGAA